UUUCUAUAGGUGUAAGUUGCACAGAAAAAUUUGGUUUUUCAGGAAACAAAUAGAAAG
rnacentral:tRNA from 1 species